rnacentral:misc_RNA from 1 species
UCUCUCUCUCUCUCUCUCUCUCUCUCUCUGUAGUAUGAACCAAUCAGCUCGAUCCUACCCAGCAGAUAAGGCUGCUGUAUGGGCGAUUACAAUGGUGAUGAGUAUAUAAUCAUCUUAAGCACUCGCCGACGUGAUAAGAUUCAAAUGAUUAACUUCACUGUCAAGAGGCUUGGUGUCUUUGCUUCUAGGAGCAGUGGAGCAGUACCAGUCAGCGUAGGUUUCUUGUGCACGAGAUUGUCUUGACACGUCUCUUCCUCUCGGUGUACCUGUCGGUGGACUUCUUAGCGCAUAUCUCCCUCGUGGUGCAACUCUGUGGACGUGCCUGAAGACAGUGUUUUAGCUGCUUACUCUUAAAAAAGAUGAGAGCAUGGAGACUGCUAGCGAGGUCCUCAACUUGGCUGGUGACCUCUAGGACUGGAGGAACAUCUCCAGGGUUAAGGCCGACAUGUCACAUGACCCGAGGUGUGUCACAGUGUCAGACUGCUCAGAACGACCCACCUAGCAGCAGUAAUGACAACAGAGACCCCAACCCAUCACCAUAUCAUGAAGAUUCAAGCAUUAAUACCCACUCUCCGUAUGCCACGCCAUACCUGGAGGCUUACAACCUGAUGGAGGAGAACGCGGAUAUGAUCUUCGAGCCGGAGACGAUGUUAAGUGAGAGGAACUACAUAGCGGAGGCCGAGGACAGAAGCCAUCCGCGUCCUGCCUCCCAGCUGCCCGGCCCCCGCUCCUGGCCUAUUGUGGGCUGUCUUCCAUACAUGCUCACACACAAGGACUUCGAUCCCCAGCGCGUGUACCUGUUCUGGGAGGCUGUACGGCAAGAGUUUGGUCCGAUCUUCAGGAAGGACAUGCCAGGUCACCCCUGUCUGGUGUUCAUCACCCGGCCCGAGGACCUGGAGACCCUGUUGCGCUCCACCAUGUAUAACCCCGUCAGGCCAGGGAUGGCUUCCCUCAAAAGGAUCCGAAGUGAAGGAGGAGCAGACGGCCACAGUCGACUCCACGACCACAUCUUCAGGGGCAAGGCGGGCAUCCUGGCAGAACAGGGUCAGGAGUGGUGGAGGGUGAGGCGCCGUGUUCAACGUCCCCUCACUAACCCCGACAUCGUCCACCGGUACCUGCCUCAAAUGGACCAAGUAGCCAAGGAGUUCGUCCACAGAAUUCGAACAAUGAGAGACGACAGAAACGAGGUACCAGAGAGCUUCAACAGUGAGCUAUACAAGUGGGCUUUAGAGUCACUGGGCACCAUCGCGCUGGAGCGUCGUCUUGGAUGUUUCGAGGACACGACGUCGUCUCCUUCGUCUACUCGUCCGCUGCGCCUCAUUGAGUUGGCCCAGCAGCUGCUUGGGGCGCUGCACGAGACCGAGAACGUGAAGCUGUGGCAGUACUUCCCUACCGCCUCCAUCAGGAGACUUCAGGAGGCACACCAGGUCUUCACAGACGUAGCUCUUGAGGCCAUACGAGAUACCGAGCGGCUCCUGGGCGCUCGUCCAGGUCACCGCACCAUGAACACCUCCUGCCCGCUCCAACACCACCAACAGGAAGAUGGGAAGACAGCCAGCUUGUUGGAGACCCUGCUGGGGACCCCAGGACUCUCCAGGGAGGACGUCCUCACUUUCCUGCUGGAUAUGAUAUCAACUGGCAUUGACACGGAUAAUGCCCAGGAGACAGAGAGAGAGAGACAGACACAUACAGAGAUGCAGAGACAGAGAGAGAGGAGGAGGAGAAGACGUAACUCUCGGCUUGUCACCUUCCCCCUCCCCAGACGAGCCACGCCGUGGGCAACCUCCUGUACCUGUUGGCGAAGCACCCGAAGGAGAGGCAGAAGGUGCAACAAGAGAUCGACAAAGUGGUGGGCCGGCCUGACCACCUGACACCCGCCCACCUGGCUAACCUCACCUACACCAAGGCUGUCUUCAGGGAGACGCUCAGAGUGAUGCCUGUGAAUGUUGGCAUCGUCAGACGCCUCAACCGUGAUGCUGUGCUGGGCGGAUACCUGGUGCCUCAAGGG